AUGAUCUUACAUGUGCUUGGUCCUUAUACUCUAGAAUACACACCAAAUGGGCGCUACAUGAUAGUAGGUGGGCGAAAAGGUCAUGUUGCAUUUAUGGAUAUGUUGAAUAUGGAACUCAUCAAUGAAUUUGAGGUGAAGGAAACUGUGCACGACGUGGCAUUUUUACAGAACGAGCAACUCUUUGCAGUCGCCCAGAAAAAGUAUCCGUACAUAUAUAAUCGUCAUGGCACAGAAAUUCACUGUCUGAAGGAACAUGGCAAAUCGCUGAAACUUCAGUUUCUGGAUAAACACUUACUCUUGGCAUCGAUAAACAGCUUCGGGCAGCUCCACUACCAAGAUAUGAGCACUGGUGAGAUGAUUGCAAACUACAGCACACGUCUUGGAUGUACGGACGUGAUGCGGGUAAAUCCCUGCAAUGCCGUCAUUGGCCUUGGACAUGCUGGUGGGGAACUCACAAUGUGGAAGCCAACCAGUGUGAAACCCCUUGUCACAAUGUUGUGCCAUGAGGGCCCUCUGACUGCCGUCGCAUUUGACAGGGGUGGUCACCUUAUGGCAACUGCAGGUGGAGACCAGAAGAUUAAGAUUUGGGAUCUCAGGAAGUUUGAGGUGCUCAGUCCCUGGAUUUCAGCCAGAAGGGGUUGUUGGCGAGCAGCAACGGAUCUCUAG
rnacentral:rRNA from 1 species